UACGAAGGGGGCUAGCGUUGCUCGGAAUCACUGGGCGUAAAGGGCUCGUAGGCGGCCAACUAAGUCAGACGUGAAAUCCCCAGGCUCAACCUGGGAACUGCGUCUGAUACUGGAUGGCUUGAAUCCGGGAGAGGGAUGCAGAAUUCCAGGUGUAGCGGUGAAAAUGCGCAGAUAUCAGGAGGAACACCGGUGGCGAAGGCGGAUCUCUGGGCCAUUACUGACGCUGAGGAGCGAAAGCGUGGGGAGCGAACAGG
rnacentral:rRNA from 1 species